CAUUAAGAAGCUAUGAACCAGCGUUAGCCUUUUAAGCUAAAGAAAGAGGUAACUCGCCUCCUUAAUGA
rnacentral:tRNA from 1 species